AAGAAAAGUAACCAAACCAGAAUUUGCACUAGGGAAGUUUGAAAGAAGUUGAUCCAUUUUGAGAAGAGAGUUACAGAAAACAAAUAAGGAACCCAUUGACGUCCUAGUAGGCUGAGCUCGACGUCACUUCUUCCACAGAGUAUACACGUCAAGAACUUAAAAAGCAUUAACUUCUGCCAGAUAUGAAAUUAUUGUCUUUCUGGUGGAGAAAAGGAGCCACAGAGAGGUUCUAGGUAAAACAUGGACUUUUGUCUCUUUUAAUGUGGAUUAUCUGCUAGAAUAAAAUUUAGUAGAUGUCUAUAAAUUUUCUACAUUACUAGAAUGCUGUUCAAUCAGAUAUUGUUCAAAAUAAAUCAUACUGCUGCUGAGAAAUAUUUUUCUCAGGAGACAACCUAACCAGAAUGAUAUGUGUGCAUUGUAUUGGCCUUUGAUCAGCAGUACUUCUUCAAUUUUGUUUUGGUCCAUGCAAAAAUGACCAACGCUCCCUGUUAUUGGGUGUCUAUGUCAUUCAUUCUCUUUCCAGCACUGCCCUUUCUUGGUGCCCACAGCUUCAAUCAUUUCCUAUCUUUUUCUUUCUCUUCUCCAAUCUAAAAUUGACUCUGGUUGCAGUAUAACAAGCUAUCAAUUUUGGAAGUGACACCUGUGGUUCUAGUUGCCUAAAAUCCCUGUGACAGAGUUGGGACCUGACAAAGACCCACAGCGACCUGACAAAGAUCUGACAUAUUCUGGGUUUCCCCAAAGGGCAACUGACCCUUUGGUUUAUAUGAUAAAAGUGAGAGGACAACAGUUUAUUCAACUACAAUAAAUCUAACUUCUAGGGUGAAUCGCUUGCAAGUUAAAUUGCUAGUCAAGUUAAAUAAUAGGUGACAUAUCAAAAAGAUGGAUAAGACAUAUUUCUACAUAUAAACUAUAUGUGGUAGAGGACAAAUGCACUCUAAAAUUUAAAACUUUUAUAUCACAUACGAAAUGUAUGAACAUACAGCUAAAUCUUAAUAUGAAUCUUAA
rnacentral:lncRNA from 10 species